rnacentral:lncRNA from 1 species
CCUUAAGCAAUUUCACACAUGCGUUAAUUCAAGAAAUACCGUUUUAUCAUUUUUAACUUUAAUACCGUGAUAGGAAAUAGGGUGAGGGGUCCUUACUUGUUUUCGGGAUCCGAAUACGAUUCACAGUGCGCCUGCAGGCCGUCCCUAAUUUUCCUUGAAUUUUUCCCGGGGAACUGAAACACACUAACAGUACCUGCACGUGUUCCAAAAAAAA